AGAGCACUGAGGAGGGGCGGCCCGCGGGGCUCAGGUGAGCCCCCUGAGGGCAGGGCAGGGCUGGGCUGCGCGGCCACAGACCGCGGCCACACCUCGGCACCCCGGAAAGCGGCCUGAGGGUGGUAGGGCGGUGCCCUGGAGGAAGGCUGCAGAGGUUCCAGAUGGACUCCCGUGCAGUGCUGGCAGUUGGCGUGCUGUAGCGGCGGUGAUGUCCCGUUUCCCGCCACUUGACCGAUCGUCUUCUCUCACAGUGCUUUGAAGAACACGAGUACCUGAGGCCAGACAGUAAUGGAAUAACACAUUUAAACUAAUUGUCUACUUCCAAGGAAGAAAACAUCCUUUCUGGCAGAAGUGACAUUGCCCUGUUGUAAGAACUCUUUUAAAAGAAGAAAAAGAAGAGGGGAAAAAAAGAUGUGUUUUUCCUAGAACUCCUAAAUGGUCAACCUAUUCAGCUCAAACUUUUAAAUCUCUGACAAUUAUUGUUACUCUUCAGCAGUGUUCCUUAAUAGGAUGGAGGAAAAAAUACAAAAUAUAAUCUCUCUUUUAAUGUUCUUUUGUAUAAGAGUUCUGAUGUAGAAAAUCAAUACCUGCUAUUCAAAGGAAAGCUAUUGAAACAAAUAUUACUAGUGGAUGGG
rnacentral:lncRNA from 1 species